GACGAACGCUGGCGGCGUGCUUAACACAUGCAAGUCGAACGGUAAGGCCCUUCGGGGUACAUGAGUGGCGAACGGGUGAGUAACACGUGGGUGAUCUGCCCUGCACUUCGGGAUAAGCCUGGGAAACUGGGUCUAAUACCGGAUAGGACCCUGGGAUGCAUGUCCUGGGGUGGAAAGCUUUUGCGGUGUGGGAUGGGCCCGCGGCCUAUCAGCUUGUUGGUGGGGUGAUGGCCUACCAAGGCGACGACGGGUAGCCGGCCUGAGAGGGUGACCGGCCACACUGGGACUGAGAUACGGCCCAGACUCCUACGGGAGGCAGCAGUGGGGAAUAUUGCACAAUGGGCGCAAGCCUGAUGCAACGACGCGCGUGAGGGAUGACGGCCUUCGGGUUGUAAACCUCUUUCAGCACCGACGAAGCGCAAGUGACGGUAGGUGCAGAAGAAGGACCGGCCAACUACGUGCCAGCCGCCGCCGUAA
rnacentral:rRNA from 1 species